rnacentral:antisense_RNA from 1 species
GCUUUGGGCUUGGCUGGAGCACACUCACGGAACCACGCCAACGCCUGGCCUGUAGCCAGCUCCCACCUCCCCUCCCACCUUCUAAAAUGCUUGCGGAUCUCACGUGGCCGACCCUAACCAGAUACACAUGGGGAAAGGAAUCAGGUGGCACACACACUGCCUUUACUCCAUAGAGAACUUCCAAUUGUGGGUAAGAACAAAGCCCCACCUCUGCCUAAUAGAUGCAGUUUUCCACCUGCAGCCAAAAAGACAACCUGUUAUUAGCUUUUUUCCCAGAGGACAGGCAUCUCUAUGAAACUGCCAUUGCAAAAUUUGCUGACAGUGAGAUAACCAGCUCCAUCUUGCUUCUAACCUCCAUGCCCUCCUUGUUUAUUGCUGCGCGCAGGUUGAACUGUGGGAGGAACUUAGUUUAAAACAAAGAUGAUAACAGCCCUUUCCCAAAAGAAACCUUUCCUGGGGACUAGCCUGCUUUUGUGGGACCAACAGAUUAGCCACAAGAUUAGAAACUACGGUUGAAGAGUCACGCAGCGGGAGGCUACAGGAUUCUGACCCUUCCCAAACUGCUCCUGGCGAUAACAUCACCAUCGUAAAGCCUAAGAUCAGCACUUGAUGGGUCACCUGGCACCACCCAGGCUCAUCUGAUGUUGUGGCACCCAGGAACUGACUCAGUGCGAAAACAGCUUCGACUCCCUGUGAUUUCAUCUCUGACCUGACCAAUGGGUACUUCUGACUCACUGGCUGCCCCCCACCCACCAGCUUAUCUUUAAAAACUCCAAACCCCAGAUGCUCAGGGAGACCGAGUAAUAAUAAAACUCCAGUCUCCCACACAGCUAGCUCUGCGUGAAUUACCUUUUCUCUGUUGCAAAUGCCCUUUCUUGAUAAAUUGGCUGUCUAGGUAACAGGGAAGGUGAACCCAUUGGGCAGUUACACUUUUAUCCACCCUUCCAGCUGGAUCACGCGCCCUCUUCAAUGACAUGACACGCAGCUAGAGUGUAUGAGCUUGCUGCCGGCACCUUCCGUCCUGGAUCGCAUAGCAAGGCCUCAACGGACAGCCAGGUGCCUGGUCCGGUCCCACAUUUUUUUCUGUCUUGUUCUCGUUUCCUCUUUGCUUGGCCAAAGAGGGUUGGGCCAGGGUCCUGAGUGCAAGGGCUUGGCUUUGUGAAUUAAAGUGGCAGUAGCCGUGUGGCAGAGAAAAUUUGUAGAUGGGUGAAAUCCUGCAGCUGUUGAUGUUAACAGCAUCCUGGGCCUACACAGUGACAAAGUGUAUAUAGACAGCCAGCCUAGUUGGUGGAUGUGACAACCCCAGACUCUUCUAGAUUUGUGGAUCCGUGCACCUGCCAGACCUGUCUCUGUGCCAUCUGGGGAGGCUGGGUCGGCACAGACGCAACGCAGUCUCCUCCCACCUCCGACAGUGCGGUGUCCUGAAUGGAGAACCCCAGCACCCAGAAGCAUCCACUGAAGGACGUGUGUCCUGGAACCCUGGCUGCACCCACAGACACAGCCACUCCUGGGCCCAUGUGGAUGGAACCUUCGAGUGCCGGAAUGCCUCGUCUCCAUGGAGACCAAACUCAAGGGCCUGACUGGCCCAGGCUACCGAGACCACGAGCCCUGCUGUGCCCCUCGGCCAGGCCAACCCAAAUUCUUUUAAAUAAAAGGCACAAGCCACAGCCACACCAGCAGGAAGUGGAUACAGGAUAAGGGGCAGGGCUCACAUCUCAUCCUCAUCAGCCUUUGACCAGGCGACGGAGUCUGUGAUAGCUAGCUUAUCUGCUCUAUGCUCCAGGGACCUGGCCGGAACGGGCCGAGUUGCUGUCCUCAUGGAACUCUCAUCCUAGUGGGGCAGAGACAAGGACGGUGUAACGUGCCCGGGGGUCAGCACCACAGACAAAACGCAGGGAGCACGGCACAGUGUGGGCCAGGGAAGGCCUGGCUUCCCAAGGGUGUGGGCGCGAGCAGCAUGGCUGUGGGGAGUUCCAGGUGCAGAGAACUACUCCAGAGACGAAGCCAGGCCUGCGAGGAGGCCGGAGCGCAUGAGGGGAAGGCACGACGCAAGGCUGCCAGGGCUGUGCUGGUGGUGCGGGGCAGUCCUGUGGGGGUAGCUGCGGAGAUGGCACUGAUGCCUUCAGCUCCAGCAGCAUCCUGGGCUGGUGCGGGCCAAUAAGGGGCAGGGUUGGGGCAGGAUGAAAGGCACAAGCCACAGCCAUGUCAAGCAGGAAGUGGAUGCAGGGUACAGCCUGUCACGGUCAGGGUGAAAGGCAGGGAGGCGGGUAGGCCAUAGGUGAAUUUGGAGCAGCCUGUAGAGGACAGGAUGUGCCAUCAAAGACUUGUUCUUGGGUCCAGCUGAGACUGUCCCUUGGGGCUUCCUGUCACCUUGUGCAGGAUAGUGAGACCAUCCUUGGAAAACCCAUCGGGACUGCAGAGCAUGGCUCAGAGCUGACUGUCCAGGCCUGGCAGGGGCUGACCCCUGGGCGCUGGUGCACCCUCCGUGCGGCCUCUUGGAGGAAGCACACAAGGCGACAGUUCCCAGCUGCCGCCUGAGAUGCAGCAUCUGCUUUACUCCAGCCCAGCACUGCUCACCGUCACUGCCCACUCUUAUGAUUUUACUUCCCUUCAUGUUUGUGAUUUUGCAAAGAUGGUGUUGACUUACAGCUGCAGCAUCAAAUGACUGCCUGCCACCAGCUUGGCCCCAGCUCAGGGACAUGUCUGAGCCCAGGCAGAGCACCCUAGUGGCCGGGAAGCCUCACCUGGAGCUCCUGCGGGUGGCUGCAGUCCGCCAGGUGAUCCGUGAGGAGGGCUCGGAGAGGCCCCGUGAUGGCGUGGAAGGAUGGCAGGGACCCGUACAUGAGCACGCAGCGCUUCAGCAGGGCCAGGCCCACAGCCAGGCAGGACAGUCUGUGAGGGCAGGAGGCAAGAGGAGGUCCAACUUGUUCUAUUUGUCACUGACAAAACCAAUAACGUGGCAAAAAUGAACUUCCCCACUUCCACUAGGCUGAAAAAUCCAAUGUGGCCACCUUGGCCGGCCAGGGUUGGGCCCAUGCAACCACGGGCAAGGUAGGCUCAGGGUCAGGCCUAACGCAGGAGGGAAGGCUGUGGGAACCACAGCGCCAGCUGGGAUGGGGCGGCUCCAUUUUUGGUUCCAAAUUAUGAUUUGUGAAAUCAAGCAAAAAUGUAUUUUGAAAAUGAAAAGAAAAAGGGACAGCAAGCCAACAUGCCUCA